GUGACACAUGGGAGCACAAAAAAGAUUCUUGUCUAAUGUGGAUUUAUAUUUUGUUCAACGCCUCUCACUGUCAUCCGUGAAAUGUGGAUCUAUGUUUCACUUCUCUCUGUCAUGCUUGUUAUUUGCAACUCUCCAAUGUGUCUGUCUUGUGGUGCUGCUCAAUAUGAAGUGAAGAAAGAGUGUUGUCCCAAAUGUGAUCCUGGAUACCACGUCUAUAGACACUGUACAGAAGAUACCAGUACUACAUGUGCCCCAUGCCCCAUCUCUACGUAUACUGAUGAACACAAUGGACUGAGGGCAUGUAGAAUGUGUGGAGUCUGCCACUUGAGUGCUGGUCUUAAAGUGAAGAGAAACUGCACCUCCACCUCAGACACACUCUGUGAGCCUCUGGAAGGAUACUACUGCACUGACCCAAUCCCAGAUGGCUGCCAAGGAGCUGUGGAACACACACAGUGCAAACCAGGACAGUUCAUCAGACAGCAAGGUUGAUGGAUAAGACAGCUGCAUCAGACAGUUGGUGUGUGGCAGUGCAUAUUUGGAUGCUGUGUGUGAAGACUGCCCUACCAAUUCAUAUUCGAAUGGAAAUUUCACCAUCUGCAAACCUCACACACAGUGUAACUUGUACAUCAUGGAUGUCAUCACCAAAGGAACGCCAUCCUCAGAUACUCACUGUGGCAGAAGUGCUAUGAUCAGAGGAGUCACAUUCACCGUUGUUCUGGGGAUGCUGUCAGCAAUAGUCAUGAUGCUUGUCUGGAAAAGUUUUUCUCAGAACAGGACCAACAAUGGUAGUACUGACACAACUCAUUGCUGUUGUUGUUACUUUAAAUUAAUUCCAUUUUUCAUUUUUACUGUAGUAGUUGUUACUAUUUGUUGUUCUUAUGGGUGUUGUUUCCAGUGGUCAAUGGCUAGUUAAGGAUAAUCGGACCGCCCUCCUGAUUGCCGGUUCGAUUCCUGGAAUGAUUGACCAUCCUCCCAUGUGGAGACACCCACUGGUACCAUCCUCAAACUCUUGGGCUGCCCCCGGGCACUGUGCAGGAAUGGAGUUUCAUUAGCUGCACUAUGUACUGUGUAAUAGGGCUGCGUAAAUAUGAACAAAAAAAGUCAUGACUCAGUUUAUUUCAGUCAAUACUGAAAUCACAAUUAUUCAAAUGAUUAUUAUUUUUAUUUAUUUAUUGUUUAUACUGUUAUUAUUUCUAAUUCUGAUAGACUGAUCUCAGUUUUCCUGUAUUCUGCUGUCCUGUAUUCUGUGCUAUUUUACUAGUAUUUUACUAACACGUGUUUCUCAGAAAUGGUGUCAAGUAAAAUAGCAAAUCAUCAUUUCAACUCGGUAAUAUGAAUGUAGAAAUGCGAUCAAAAUUCUUUUACACGCACAGUGUUAUUGUGUAUUGUCAAUGAUGAAACCUCCACUUCUUAUUCAUAGCCUGUUUUUUUGUUUUCAUUUACAAUGCAGAGAAUGAAGGCAUGCAAAUGACUGGUGGAGAAAAAGGCAAUCGUCUGAACCUGAUGCACAAUCAAUGACACAUCAAUAACAGCAGAUCCUGUCCUGUUUAUGAAGACAUUUCACUUUGUUCCACACGUCCACCUCCCUAUUCUACUUUCCUCUUGUCUACAUACUGAACAGUGAUUCAUACUGAACAGUCAGGUCCGCCACUAGGCA